CUUUCACUUACUGAAGUUCACAAGCUGUUUGCUUUACAAAUUCACCUAGCAACAUGAAAGCAGCAGAUGUCUGCAGCUGGUGUGGGUCUUUAUUACAGCAUGCUGUAAUGAACCAAAAGGGCUCUGCUGAACUGACAUACCACAAUAAAC